GAUGAACGCUGGCGGCGUGCCUAAUACAUGCAAGUCGAGCGAACGGACGAGAAGCUUGCUUCUCUGAUGUUAGCGGCGGACGGGUGAGUAACACGUGGAUAACCUACCUAUAAGACUGGGAUAACUUCGGGAAACCGGAGCUAAUACCGGAUAAUAUUUUGAACCGCAUGGUUCAAAAGUGAAAGACGGUCUUGCUGUCACUUAUAGAUGGAUCCGCGCUGCAUUAGCUAGUUGGUAAGGUAACGGCUUACCAAGGCAACGAUGCAUAGCCGACCUGAGAGGGUGAUCGGCCACACUGGAACUGAGACACGGUCCAGACUCCUACGGGAGGCAGCAGUAGGGAAUCUUCCGCAAUGGGCGAAAGCCUGACGGAGCAACGCCGCGUGGGUGAUGAAGGUCUUCGGAUCGUAAAACUCUGUUAUUAGGGAAGAACAUAUGUGUAAGUAACUGUGCACAUCUUGACGGUACCUAAUCAGAAAGCCACGGCUAACUACGUGCCAGCAGCCGCGGUAAUACGUAGGUGGCAAGCGUUAUCCGGAAUUAUUGGGCGUAAAGCGCGCGUAGGCGGUUUUUUAAGUCUGAUGUGAAAGCCCACGGCUCAACCGUGGAGGGUCAUUGGAAACUGGAAAACUUGAGUGCAGAAGAGGAAAGUGGAAUUCCAUGUGUAGCGGUGAAAUGCGCAGAGAUAUGGAGGAACACCAGUGGCGAAGGCAACUUUCUGGUCUGUAACUGACGCUGAUGUGCGAAAGCGUGGGGAUCAAACAGGAUUAGAUACCCUGGUAGUCCACGCCGUAAACGAUGAGUGCUAAGUGUUAGGGGGUUUCCGCCCCUUAGUGCUGCAGCUAACGCAUUAAGCACUCCGCCUGGGGAGUACGACCGCAAGGUUGAAACUCAAAGGAAUUGACGGGGACCCGCACAAGCGGUGGAGCAUGUGGUUUAAUUCGAAGCAACACGAAGAACCUUACCAAAUCUUGACAUCCUUUGACAACUCUAGAGAUAGAGCUUUCCCCUUCGGGGGACAAAGUGACAGGUGGUGCAUGGUUGUCGUCAGCUCGUGUCGUGAGAUGUUGGGUUAAGUCCCGCAACGAGCGCAACCCUUAAGCUUAGUUGCCAUCAUUAAGUUGGGCACUCUAAGUUGACUGCCGGUGACAAACCGGAGGAAGGUGGGGAUGACGUCAAAUCAUCAUGCCCCUUAUGAUUUGGGCUACACACGUGCUACAAUGGACAAUACAAAGGGCAGCGAAACCGUGAGGUCAAGCAAAUCCCAUAAAGUUGUUCUCAGUUCGGAUUGUAGUCUGCAACUCGACUACAUGAAGCUGGAAUCGCUAGUAAUCGUAGAUCAGCAUGCUACGGUGAAUACGUUCCCGGGUCU
rnacentral:rRNA from 1 species